rnacentral:rRNA from 1 species
AUUGAACGCUGGCGGCAUGCCUUACACAUGCCAGUCGAACGGUAACAGGUUAAGCUGACGAGUGGCGAACGGGUGAGUAAUGUAUCGGAACGUGCCCAGUCGUGGGGGAUAACUGCUCGAAAGAGCAGCUAAUACCGCAUACGACCUGAGGGUGAAAGCGGGGGAUCGCAAGACCUCGCGCGAUUGGAGCGGCCGAUAUCAGAUUAGGUAGUUGGUGAGGUAAAGGCUCACCAAGCCGACGAUCUGUAGCUGGUCUGAGAGGACGACCAGCCACACUGGGAGGGAGACGCGCCCCAGCCUCCUACGGGAGGGGCCAGUGGGAAAUUUGGGACAAUGGGCGCAAGCCGGAUCCAGCCAUGCCGCGGGCGGGAAAAGGUCCUUCGGGUUGUAACCCUCUUUUGCGGGGGAAAAAAAGGUUCUGCCUAAUACCUGGGACUCAGGACGGUCCCUGAAAAAUAAGCACCGGCUAACUACGGG